CUCCCACCUGCCUCAUGCGACCCUGACCUGAGAGCAUAACCUUCAGGUGACACUUGGUGUAGACCCCUUCCUGACAACAGACUGACCGACACAGAGGUCCUCCCUGCCCCGGGGAGCACGCGGACGUCCACACCACAGGUGCCCGGGGAGCACACGGACGUCCACACCGCAGGUGCCCGGGGAGCACGUCGACGUCCACACCGCAGGUGCCCGGGGAGCACGUGGGCGUCCACACCACAGGUGCCCAGGGAGCAUGCGGGUGUCCACACUGCAGGUGCCCCGGGGAGCACGCAGACAUCCACACCGCAGGUGCCCAGGGAGCAUGCAGGCGUCCGCACUGCAGGUGCCCGGGGAACACGUGGGCAUCCACACCGCAGGUGCCCAGGGAGCAUGCAGACGUCCACACCACAGGUGCCCCGGGGAGCACACAGGCGUCCACACCGCAGGUGCCCCAGGGCAGGGCGUGGAGACCUCGGCGAUGACACACGCUUUCCACUGGCAAGUGUUCAAGGCCGGUUUUUUGUUCCCUGAGCACAGGAACCAUCCUGCAAGCGCCUGACUCACCGGGUGAUUACAUCAAAGGCUGUUUGUCUUGGUCGGCUGCCUAUUUGGGUUAAAACCAAGAUAAAUGCGCACUGGCUGGAGCUGCUCACAAACACGCACGUUUCGGCGGAUCCUGGGAGGAGCGCGCCGUGUGCCCGGCUCGGCUCACCCCCAUCCUGUCGUGAUUCAGCAAGUUGCUGACGGAGCCGCACAGGGCCCGGAGGGAACCACACCAUCUCCGUCCGGGAGCACGUCUUCAAGGUCCCCGGGUCGUCCAGUGUCGCAGGCUGGACUCCUAGCCCAUCCCCGCGGGCCUGGCGGGACGCUCGCCCCGAGGAUCCUGGCGUUUCCGGAGACUGUGGACAGCCGGGUGGUUCCCGCACUGCCCCCGCAGAGCCUGGUCGGACCCCGCGGGGGGACGCAGGUCACGGGCAUGUGCAGGCCGCCCCAGGGGUUCAGGACCAGCGCUGUGAGCCUCACGUCACAGACACGCAUGGUCCCUGCUCGGUGAGACACCGCGCUCGGGAGGGGCCUCGCGCCUCCGCGUCUGUGCAAGGACUGCCCAGAGCAGCUCAGGGUCAGGCGGACGCUGGCGGGUGGACAGAGGGACGCACAGACGGACACGGAGACGAUGAUCGAUGGUCCCUAGAGCCGGGACGGAGCCGCGUCCAGGAGUUCGGGGAAGCCCGACGCCGGGGCCGAUACCCGCGGUGCCCUCGUGAGCUCCUCUCAAAACGAAGCAAGACAAGACUGAAGAUCUUUGUUCCUCCGCAGGACGCGGAUCAAACUGUCAGCGCC
rnacentral:lncRNA from 12 species